AUACGUAGGGGGCGAGCGUUGUCCGGAAUGAUUGGGCGUAAAGGGCGCGUAGGCGGCUUUGCAAGUCAGUAGUGGAUGUCCAUUUUUCAAGGAUGGAAGUGCUACAGAAACUGCGGAGCUUGAGUGCAGGAGAGGUUAUCGGAAUUCCCGGUGUAGCGGUGAAAUGCGUAGAGAUCGGGAGGAACACCAGUGGCGAAGGCGGGUAACUGGACUGCAACUGACGCUGAUGCGCGAAAGUGUGGGGAGCAAACAGGAUUAGAUACCCUGGUAGUCCACACUGUAAACGAUGAAUGCUAGGUGUAGGAGGUAUCGACCCCUUCUGUGCCGCAGUAAACACAGUAAGCAUUCCGCCUGGGGAGUACGGUCGCAAGAUUAAAACUCAAAUGAAUUGGCGGGG
rnacentral:rRNA from 1 species